rfam:Glossina pallidipes unplaced genomic scaffold Scaffold40, whole genome shotgun sequence.
AAUUAGGAUUUUUUCAAAUCCAUUCUCUUCAUUCAAUUCGAAUUUAU